GAGCAGUCGGUGGAGGUGCUGAUGGAGUAUGGGAUGCUGACGCCGCACUUGGAUGGGAUGCUGGCGGCGUUGCCGGCGUUGAGUCCGCUGAUCCCCCUGGCGGCGUUCUUGAGGCAGUUGCAGGCGGCGCGCCUGUCGGCGGUGGUUGUGGCGGCGGAGUUGAGCCUCCUGACGCCGCUGCAGCAGCCGGCGGAGGGGGCGGAGCCCUGGCCGCGGGCGUAAGGGAGGCACUGGCCGAUGGCGGAGUUGACCUGGCCGCAGCUGAUGGCGGCCUCGGAGGCCGCCGCGGCGAGCAGCACCACGGCCACGACGGCGAGCACCACCACCUGAGCGCGAGCCAUGCUGAUGUGCGUGUUCCUGUGCUAGCUGCUAGCUGCGCUGUGGUCGAUGGAUCGGACGAUGUGCUCUACAAGCUGCUUGGGAAGAAUGUGCUUUGCUUU
rnacentral:lncRNA from 1 species